AAAAAAAAGUCCUUCUGGAAAAUCUAACACAUCAAGUAAAUAGCAGAAUUCCUAUGAUUCCUUACAUGAAGUGUGUGAGGGACCUGGACGACACCUUGCGAGUUAAGUGUCCGGUGAUAAUUUGUCUUUUCGUCUGUCACUACCUAAUUUAAACCUUUCAAAUACAUUGCCAAAGUCUCGGGUAUGAUUCCUUAGCCGUGAAUUAAAUCUUUCUUUCGUAACAGUAUGACUGAAUCCACUGUUUUCAGCCCCAAUCGUACAAAAAAGACUGUACUUAAAUUUCUCUCAAGCACUUAGAAAAAAAUCUCAAACCUGUUUUGGUCUGCUCACUGUGAUCAUUGGCUUUCUUUUUUCUUAAAGACAUAGUCUUAAUAUAGAACUGACUUUGUAAUGGAAGGUGGCCUUGCCCCUGCCUCACUUUAUUCAGUGCUGGGAUUGCAGGCGUGUGACUUCAUGCCUGGCUCUUCAUUUUUGAAUCUAAGGCUUUGUGCUUCAAGCUUUUUCAGUAAUUACAUUACUGGGUGAGUAAGAUUGAGGAGAAUGCUCCAGACUGCAAAUGAAUUUUCUGAGAACUUUGCAUAUAUUCUACCAUUCCAACUACAUGAAUGUUUUAUUAUUAAUUUUGUUAUUAUCUGUGCCUAUGUGUGAUGAUGGUGGUAGUCCCACGAGUGUGGUUCAGAGGACAACUUGGUGGGGUUCUUUUUCUCUCCUACCUUUACUAGGGCUCCAGGGAUCCAACUAAGAUUGCCAGGUUUGUGUAAAACAUGAUACUAUAUGAAUAUUUUUUAUUUCAAACUAAAAUGCUUGUAAGCUAAACUUGAUGGCUCAAGAUUGUAAUCCCAGAAUUGUGGAGGCCAAGGCAGGAAGAUUGCUGGGAGUUCCAGGCCACUCUGGGGUACUGAAUAAGACCCUGUCUCAAAAAGAACAGACACACAUAAAUCCAAGUUUAGGAAGAAGGAAAAUCAUGAAAUCACAUAAUCCAGCCCAACUACAAUAUAAAAAAAGCUUUUUUAAAAUGUCUGUAAAUUUAAUAUACCUAAUGUCUGAAUUCUCAUUUUAACUUAUAACACAUUGAAGGCAUAUCAGUACAUAAUGGAAGUUUAUUAGUAUAUUUUUUUCAAAUAACUUGACUGAAAGGUCACAUGUUUGAAGAAGAGCAUUAAAUUCAGAUUUGAUUUCUGUGAUAAGAUUUCUUUCCACUUGAAUCUGGAAUAUCAAAAAGGGCAUUUAAUUAAUUAUGUAAAAAAAAAGCAAGCAAGGUUAGUGCCAGGCAAGAUGUGCCCACUGAUACAAUAAUGUCAGGAAAGUUGUGGGAAAAACUAACUGCUUUGGGAGUGGAUUUGAGGCCUAUUCCACAGGAGGGAAUUCCAGUCUGGUACUGUCAACCUUGUCAAAAGCCCAUGGCUCAGGAAGGCAUGUGCCCUAGGGAGGAGUCUACUGUUGUUGUUCUGUUAGGGACAUGUUGUCAGACUACCUUCUGAAUGAUGCUUAUGCUUAUAUCCAUAGAUUCAUGUUGCUUUCAGUCUGGGCCAGAGACACUUGUGUUUGCAGCAGUCAGCAGUUAAUGCAGAGACUCAUAACUGGUGGAGAGCUGAGAAUGUCUGCCUAGAUCUGGGAAGAGGGAACCUCAGCUGAAGAAAUUGCCAAGUCAGCUCCACAUACAGCCGUGUCUGUCUGUAAGAAAUUGCCUUUCCUGAUGACUGAUGGAGGAGGACCCAACCCACUGUUGUGACAUUCUCCCUGGGUGGCUCCCAUUGAAAUUUCCACACAGCCCCUCUGUGAACUAGAGCUGAAGACCCCGACCUUACCAACAGCUGCAUUGUAGGCAGGAUAUGGUAAAGUCGUUCAUUUGUUUUUCCCUGUUAAUUACAUUAGAGGAUUUUGCGGACUUAUUUCUGUUUUAUUGACAUAUCAAGGAUCCUUUAUUGUGAAUCAAAUUCUAUAAAUAAAAUGUCUUAAAACAUCAAA